AUUGAACGCUGGCGGAAUGCUUUACACAUGCGAGUCGAACGGUAGAGGGGGCAACCCCUCGAGAGUGGCGAACGGGUGAGUAAUAUAUCGGAACGUGCCCAGUCGUGGGGGAUAACGUAGCGAAAGUUACGCUAAUACCGCAUACGAUCUAAGGAUGAAAGCGGGGGAUCGCAAGACCUCGCGCGAUUGGAGCGGCCGAUAUCAGAUUAGGUAGUUGGUGGGGUAAAGGCUCACCAAGCCAACGAUCUGUAGCUGGUCUGAGAGGACGACCAGCCACACUGGAACUGAGACACGGUCCAGACUCCUACGGGAGGCAGCAGUGGGGAAUUUUGGACAAUGGACGCAAGUCUGAUCCAGCCAUUCCGCGUGCAGGAUGAAGGCCCUCGGGUUGUAAACUGCUUUUGUACGGAACGAAAAGGUCUCUCUUAAUACGGGGGACUCAUGACGGUACCAUAAGAAUAAGCACCGGCUAACUACGUGCCAGCAGCCGCCGCGGUAA
rnacentral:rRNA from 1 species